AUUGAACGCUGGCGGCAGGCCUAACACAUGCAAGUCGAGCGAGCGGCGGACGGGUGAGUAAUGUAUGGGGACUGCCCGAUAGAGGGGGAUAACUACUGGAAACGGUGGCUAAUACCGCUUACUAUCGGAUAACCCAUAUGGGAUUAGCUAGUAGGUGGGGUAAAGGAGCACCUAGGCGACGAUCUCUCGCUGGUCUGAGAGGAUGAUCAGCAACAGUGGGACGGAGACACGGCCCAGACUCCUACGGAGGCAGCAGUGGGGAAUAUUGCACAAUGGGCGAAAGCCUGAUGCAGCCAUGCCGCGUGUAUGAAGGAGGCCUUAGGGUUGUAAAGUACUUUCAGCGGGGAGGCGUUACCCGCAGAAGAAGCAACGGCUAACUCCGUGCCAGCCGCCGCGGUAAUUC
rnacentral:rRNA from 1 species